ACUACUGAGCAUAUCUCCAAUGCUGUAAAAAAUCGUUCUCUCUUGCAAGAUUAAAAUAAAGCUGAUUCUGAGUAACAAUCAUCGGUCUCUGUCUUGGUAAAAACAAAUUUUUCUACAACACUGUCAUGGGCUUUAGACGUCCUCAGGUACCCUACUUCCUGGUUCUACAUUUCACCAUCAGAUGCUUAUUCCAAUCAUGACCCCCCCCCCAUACUGUCACAUGCAUAAAGUGUGUUUAUAGCUUAAGACGCACUAGUGUUGUGUAUAGCAUGUGUGUACUGGGAUGUGUGGCGUCAAAUGUACUUUGAGCUAUGUGAAAAUGUGAAUUUUGCAACAAAUGAUUGCCUGACCAAUUUGAGAUGAAAGUUCAGUGUUUGUUUACAGUCUACGAGGGCCCCAAAGUAGUCAAAUAAAACCUAGCUGAAUUUACCAAAACAUAUGUCAGGCAGUUGGAGAUACUCCCUGUCAGGGUUCUGGGUUUUUGUGUGUGUGUGUGUUCACUUUGUUUUUAGCUUUCAGAUGGUUCCAGAGUUUCUCAGGUGCACGGGGUGACAGGUGCGACUGAUCUGCUGAUUGCCUUGAGGAGUAUUUAAGCAGGAGGCUCCCAGCACUUCGAUGCCAGAGUGUUUGCCUUCAGUGGCUGAAACCUGAACCUUGUUGAGCUUCGUCUUUGGCUCCAGUGAUUUCCUAGACGCUCAGGUUUACCUACGUUUUGUGGAUUACGUUCUGGAUUUCGUGUUUUGGAUUAAGCUGGCAGCUUUCUGGAAAUUCCUGACUCCUGAUCCAAGGCAGAGGCAUACCCUGACCACCCUCCAACGCAAGUACCUGAACAUUGAACUCUCUUAUGAACUCACCAGUAUUCACUUCCCAGCUCGUACUGAAGCAUCUGGACAACAUAGCUUCGCACACCCAGGUUCUGACUCCCUCUACCCCUGGCGACCUGACGGCAUUUACUUAGACACUUUCUUGUUUAGUAUCGUUUUUGUUAACACAGUUCCCUGUUUCACCAGUUCUCUUCCCCUCUCUUUCAGUUGGCGAAUUUACCCAUUCAUGUCCCUGUGUUCACAUACUGUAAAUAAACACUGUUACACUUUCAA